UAAGUAAGUGGUGGAAAUUAAACCAAAUGGGAUAUCUUUAGUAAUUGCGAAUGAACAAGGAUAUGCUUAGCUUGACAAAUGGAGCUAUUGGCUUUGAAUUGUAUUGUGGAAAUGUAUUACCAACAGAGGUGCAGGUGCCAGCCUAUUGAAAUAAAGCGUCAAUGAGGGUGAGAAUCCUGUUUGUCAUGUGCAGCCCUUUGUGCACGGUGUAUAUUUGCUGAGUCACACUCCUUGGCAUUGGAAUGCAAAGUGGGUGGUAAGUUUCAUGUAAAGGUAAACAUGCAAUUGAGACUGAUAGCACACAAGUACCAUGAGGGAAAUAUGAAAAGGACUUUGAAAAGAGAAUUAAAUGAGUUUGUAUUUGCUGAACACAAAGUAAACAGACUUGAUUUGCUUGGUGGGAGUGUUGCACUUGCUUGACAAGAGCUUUGGGCUGUGGGUGUAAUGAUUCUUUCUUUGCAUGCCAGUUUCUAUUUGUACAUCUGAUUACCUUUGCUCAUGAAUGAUAAGUCUCCUGUGGGGGGUGGAUUGCAUGUGCAUGUAAUGAUUUGUGUUUUGAUAAAUGUGUCUGGUGUAUGUGUGUGUUCCUGUGCUUGGGGAUGCUUCCUUCCUUGGACUUACAAGCCCUGACACACACAUGCUGGCAAAAUGCUUCUGCUUGACCCG
rnacentral:rRNA from 1 species